CCCUUAGAUGUUCUGGGCUGCACGCGCGCUACACUGAAGCGUUCAACGAGUAUUUCACCUUGCCCGGGAGGGUUGGGUAAUCUUUUUAAAACGCUUCGUGAUGGGGAUAGAUUAUUGCAAUUAUUAAUCUUCAACGAGGAAUGCCUAGUAAGCGCAAGUCAUCAGCUUGCGUUGAUUACGUCCCUGCCCUUUGUACACACCGCCCGUCGCUCCUACCGAUUGAAUGGUCCGGUGAAGCGCUCGGACCGCGGCCUCUUGACGGUUCGCUGUCGAUUGGCUGUGGGAAGUUCGUUAAACCUUAUCAUUUAGAGGAAGGAGAAGUCGUAACA
rnacentral:rRNA from 1 species